UGAGGAAUAUUGCACAAUGGGCGGAAGCCUGAUGCAGCAACGCCGCGUGAGGGACGAAGGCCUUCGGGUCGUAAACCUCUUUUCUGGGGGAAGAGACAAGGACGGUACCUCAGGAAUAAGUCUCGGCUAACUACGUGCCAGCAGCCGCGGUAAAACGUAGGAGGCGAGCGUUAUCCGGAAUUACUGGGCGUAAAGCGCGCGCAGGCGGCUCUGUAAGUUGGACGUGGAAGCUCCUGGCUUAACUGGGAGAGGUCGUUCGAAACUGCAGGGCUUGAGUCUGGGAGAGGGGUGUGGAAUUCCCGGUGUAGGGGUGGAAUGCGUAGAUAUCGGGAGGAACACCAGUGGCGGAAGCGGCACCCUGGUCCAGUACUGACGCUGAGGUGCGAAAGCGUGGGGAGCAAACA
rnacentral:rRNA from 1 species